rnacentral:ncRNA from 2 species
UCGGGCCGCACCCGUCCGGGUCGGCACCACACACGCCCGAGGUGGGGAAAGCCGGUCCGAAUCCGGCGCUGACCCGCAACCGUAGGCACGGGAGAGAUCCCGUGCGAGCCGGAACACCCGCCUCGACGCGUCAUGACCA